AUUGAACGCUGGCGGCAGGCCCAACACAUGCAAGUCGAACGGUAACAGGAAGCAGCUUGCUGCUUUGCUGACGAGUGGCGGACGGGUGAGUAAUGUCUGGGAAACUGCCUGAUGGAGGGGGAUAACUACUGGAAACGGUAGCUAAUACCGCAUAACGUCGCAAGACCAAAGAGGGGGACCUUCGGGCCUCUUGCCAUCGGCUGUGCCCAGAUGGGAUUAGCUAGUAGGUGGGGUAACGGCUCACCUAGGCGACGAUCCCUAGCUGGUCUGAGAGGAUGACCAGCCACACUGGAACUGAGACACGGUCCAGACUCCUACGGGAGGCAGCAGUGGUGAAUAUUGCACAAUGGGCGCAAGCCUGAUGCAGCCAUGCCGCGUGUAUGAAGAAGGCCUUCGGGUUGUAAAGUACUUUCAGCGGGGAGGAAGGGAGUAAAGUUAAUACCUUUGCUCAUUGACGUUACCCGCAGAAGAAGCACCGGCUAACUCCGUG
rnacentral:rRNA from 1 species